UCUACAUAAAAUAUCGAUCUCGUUUAACUUAAGAUCCUAUACUAUUCGGAAGUAAAUCAAUAAAUGAAAGUUUUUUGGCGGGUUUCUUAAAAAUACAGAAAAAAGAAGCAUCACUAUUUUAUUUUUUAAUCUUACGAUACUAUGGCUGAAGUAUUAGCCCUAACCAAAAAGGUUACAUAUUUCAUGUUUUUUUAAAAUUACAGAUGUUGGCUUUGUACUUAUAAAAAAUUAACCUUCUUAAAACUUAAAUCAGAUAUAUUGUAUAAUUAUCUAGAUUUUCAAUGAGUACAUUCAAUGAAACACAAAUAAGUAACAUGUAAGAAUUUCGUUAAAUGUUGACCACUGUAAGCCAGUUUUUUUCGGUUUGACUUAACAAAGGUUGUGUAUGAGGUAUUACUAAUGUCAUUUUUAGUGUUUUAAGCAACGACAUUAUAUUAUUAAUAAUCUUUUCAUCCACAUAUAUAUUAAAGUACUAUUUUUUAAAUUAAUUAAGCUUUUAUCUCAUUUAUCGUCUGUGGAAAUAGCGGACAUUUAACAGAAAAUUAAGUAACUUUGUUCCAUCACAAGCGAAGCGAGCAAUUAACCUAAUUGCCGACAUUACAAUAUAAUUUCUUACACGCCCCGCUUUACCACUUUACAAACUUAAUAAAUUGUCCUUUUAUAUUCGCUAAAUAAAGUUUUUGCUACUGCGCUCUUUAUGUUGUCAAAGGACACCUGCUGAUGUGUAAGUGAAAUAAAUUCCGAGCAAACAGAACCGGUCGAAGGUGUUACGAGUAAAUAUGAAACGCACAGCAAUCCGUUGAUUUCAAUUUGUAUGCUAAGCUGAUAACUCCCGGUUAUGAUUUAUUUUAGUGGAACUCAAAACUGGAAUAACCGUUCAUUUUCGAUCUCGUAUACUUAGAAAGUUAUUGCAAUUCCAACUCCCAUUACAGUAGAAUAAACUCCAAUUUUUCUAGCCAUUGCCCGGCAGUAGAACGUUUUCAGACUAUGACUAUAUUUUAAAUUGGUAAAUUUAUUCUUGAGUUUUUAUUGACAACUAGCUGAACAUAAUAUAUAAAACUACCUAUAGCACACAAACCGUCACCCCCAUUGUAUCCUCUCAGGUGAAUUAAAAAGUGGUCUAUAUCCAUUCUCGAGACUCAAACUACCUCCUUACCAAAUUUCAUAUAAAUCGGUUUCGCAGUUUAAGCGUGAUGAGGUAACAGACAGAGUUACAUUCAAAUUUAUAAUAUU